AAGUAGAGAACAACCUUAAAAAAAUAAACCCUUUUUUCUCUGGGACAUAAGGAUCACUUCUGCGGGGUCCUUUGUCCAAGCCUGCAAGGUCUAGCACUUCUGCUGAUCCUGGAUGCUGUUGGCCACUGGAAUGUUCAGAAGGUAGAAAACAAAUAAGAAAAGAAACUUGCUGAAAAUGCAAAUUUUAUUGGACAAACACAGCAAUCAGUGCUGAAGCCUCCUAAUCCUAAAAAUCACUUCAAAUGUCCAAAGAACGUGGAAGGGAUUACAUCGGCACCAGUCUCCCCUGGAUGCUGUGGGACACUGUGUCUAUCUGACACAUUGAGAAUUGGACUCAUUGCACCCAACAUACAUGAGAUCGUAAUGGACAGAUGAUUAUUUCAUGAAAAUAAACAGAGCAUAUGAAUUUGAAAUAACCAAACACACAUUAAAGACCUGUUAGAGACUGAUCUGAAGACAUCAACAGAUCAUAGUGGGCAAGUAGACCUAGAAGAUGAAGCGCUUUGAGAAUUAUUAUGAAAGACAUUCUCAUCAAGUAGAAAGCAGAAAACGUGGAGCUCAAGGACCAUGCUCAAGAUUCCCCAGCAUCUGCUAUGUUUUGUUCUAAAAAACUGAAGAGGAUAUUUCCAUCGCGCUGCUGGUGAGAGCCUAAUGCCUGAUGAUCUGGGGCGGAGCUGAGGCGGUGAUGCCAGCGCUGGGGAGCGGCUGCAAAUACAGAUUACCAUUAGCAGAGAGACUGAACUCACACUGAGGACAUCGGAAAUCCAAACCUUUGGCAGCUAUCCUCCACUGCAACGCCUCAUUUGAUUCCAAUUCCCUUUGUUCAGGUGAUCAAAACAGGAACAUUUUAGAAUAAAAACAUUUUGAAGGCAAAGCACCCAUAUGAUUUUAUUUGGAAGCUUGAGUUUAGAAAAUACCUGUUCAUUGCUUCUUCUAUGGAAAACCAGAUACACAAAUCUCUAAAUGGAGUCUGUUGUUGCUCUACUACACUACACUGUGAAUUUGAACAGCCUUUGGACUUUACAAAGUGCUACUCCUCCAUGUAGGAAGAAGAGAUGAACACACGCUAAAUACUCCAGGAUUCUUUGUCUGGAUUUGAACUGAUUUAGGAUCUAGCAAUAUUACAAUGCUAAUUUAGUUACUCCUCAAGAGAACGCAAUAGAAUACUUAGUCCGGGUAUAUUGGCCUCGCAUCUAAUGAAGAUGAACUGAUAAUUGGAGAUAAAUGGGAGAGGCCAACCACAUCAAGGAUGCUCUGCCAGGCUUGAGAUGGAAGCUCAGCCCUGCUCCUGACAAACUGCACGAUCUGCGCAUGUUGCUUAUCUUCCUAUAACUCAGCUUUGUAGAAAAUGGGAGGUGAAUCUGGCACCACAUUACGGGGUUGGGCUAGGCGCUAUGGAUUGAAAUAAAUUUUUAAGGAAGGAA